GAUGCCAGUUAAGUAAGUCAGUAAUUCCAAUCUCAAUGUCUUUUCUGAAGUAACUAUGCUAUGAAUUGCGAAGACCUCCAUGAAACCACCCAUGGCCUUGCCUUUACAGUAACUAUGACAACUAAGUGUUCAAUUGGUUUGCCUAGAUAGCAAAUGCUGCUGUGUUUGUUCUCUUGCGCAAUACUCAUUUGCUGUUUGAUCACUGUUUAGUAUUGAAAACUCAACCUCCUAGUUAUCAGUGUCCUACUGUGAAGAAAUACUGGUCUUAGUUGUAAUUACGAUGCAAUGGUCCAGUGUGUAAUUAAACUAGAGUAAACUGUUGGAAUGACUCUUGUACUUACAUUAUUGAAGCUAGCAUAACAUAAGCAACAUAGAUACAAGGGGCACUCCUGGAGUGCUUUGCCACAUUGUUACCAGAAACCAAAAUCUCUCUACUAAGUGUGUACAGGGAAGUCCUAGGCCAAGUGAACGAUUGUCCUUAUUAUUGAUAUCCACGAUUAUCAUUUUUCAUUACCUCUUUUUCAAAUUUUGCUUUUGAAAUAUUCAUGUACUUUGAUUUCAUAUGGCCAAGAAGACAUUGUACUUGAGUAUUUAAUUGGUAAUUGUUCAUAGAUAUCAAGAGUCCUAAUGGUUUUUUUUCUUCCAGUUACCACAACAUUGGUAUGAAUCCCUAUUGAAGUUAGUGGGGGGAAAUGUUAACUUUGUCUACAGUGUAUUACUGUAUAUUAAACUGAAAUAGUCCAUUAAAGGAUUUUUUAUUUGGAUUAAAAAUAGGAACAACCAUAAAAUUUCUAGACCAAGCUGUAACUUUUCCAGUAGAAAGCUCUUGUAAUCCCUAGAGGCAUCUUGCACAUCCAUGGUGAGGAGAGGGUGUACCCAGAGGAUAGGAGGGGUGCCUGUGGAGAUCCGGGAGUGCUGGACUUCCUGUUCCCUUACCCUGUGCAGUGCCAGUUAUGAUGUGCUGGGUUCCUACAUGGGAAAAACUAUGGUUAUCCAGUUUGUAUUUCCUUGGUAAAUAUUUUAAAACUAACACAGUCAUUGACUUUCCAAUUCAAUAAUAAAGUUUGGCAAAGCCUAUUUUGUAAACAAGUUAAUUUUAUAAUGUAAAAAAAAAGUUAAUCUAACCUUGACUUGUUAUUUGCACUUUCAUAGUCUAUACUUGAUACAUUCCCACUUUAUAUACAGUAGGAUUCUACAGACCUGUAGAUGUUUGGUCAAAUGAAUGCUGUUAAUAUGUAAAAUUCUUUGAUUAAACAUUUAUUACUUAAACUAUUUCCAUUUUUGUCUCAUUAAAUUAUAAACUUCAUUUAAAACUAAUUAGAAAGCAAAUCUUGCUUUAUAUUAAAUACCCUCCAAUAUGACAGUAUUAAUUUGGUUCUAUUAUGUAAUUGAAUAGUGCCUAAUAUUUUUACAGUAACCCACUUGCUGAAAAUUGUAUACCCAAGAGGUAAAUUUGAUUUCACUAUGACAAUGUAUUAAAAUUAUGAAAUUUGAUAAAUCUGUCAUUUGAUGACAAGUGUAUUAAAAUUGUGAAUUUAGUGC
rnacentral:lncRNA from 1 species